GACGAACGCUGGCGGCGUGCUUAACACAUGCAAGUCGAACGGAAAGGCCCUGCUUUUGUGGGGUGCUCGAGUGGCGAACGGGUGAGUAACACGUGAGUAACCUGCCCUUGACUUUGGGAUAACUUCAGGAAACUGGGGCUAAUACCGGAUAGGAGCCCCUGCUGCAUGGUGGGGGUUGGAAAGUUUCGGCGGUUGGGGAUGGACUCGCGGCUUAUCAGCUUGUUGGUGGGGUAGUGGCUUACCAAGGCUUUGACGGGUAGCCGGCCUGAGAGGGUGACCGGCCACAUUGGGACUGAGAUACGGCCCAGACUCCUACGGGAGGCAGCAGUGGGGAAUAUUGAACAAUGGGCGGAAGCCUGAUGCAGCAACGCCGCGUGCGGGAUGACGGCCUUCGGGUUGUAAACCGCUUUCGCCUGUGACGAAGCGUGAGUGACGGUAAUGGGUAAAGAAGCACCGGCUAACUACGUG
rnacentral:rRNA from 1 species